rnacentral:rRNA from 1 species
GACGAACGCUGGCGGAAUGCUUUACACAUGCAAGUCGAGCGGCAGCGCGGGGGGCAACCCUGGCGGCGAGCGGCGAACGGGUGAGUAAUACAUCGGAACGUGUCCUUAAGUGGGGGAUAGCUCGGCGAAAGCCGGAUUAAUACCGCAUAAGCUCUGAGGAGGAAAGCGGGGGAUUCGCAAGGACCUCGCGCUGUUGGAGCGGCCGAUGUCGGAUUAGCUAGUUGGUGGGGUAAAGGCCCACCAAGGCGACGAUCCGUAGCUGGUCUGAGAGGAUGAUCAGCCACACUGGAACUGAGACACGGUCCAGACUCCUACGGGAGGCAGCAGUGGGG